rnacentral:tRNA from 1 species
UCCCUGGUAGCCUAGUAGGUUAAGGAACCAGCAUUGUCACUGCUGUGGUAUGGGUUCAAUCCCUGACCCUGGAA